GCCAGCCUCUCUUCCCUCCUCUGUUUGACCGGCACGUAGACCCCGCACGCGUCUUCAACCUUCGCUCGAACUCCCCUUCCUGUACGACAACGCCGCCACGCCCAGAUCGGUCUCCGGCGAUUCGUGUGACCCCGAACCCGUCGCGCCAAUCCAUGGGCAUCUAGCGAUCCUGCUUCUUCCUCUCGUCCGAUUCCCACAUCCAUCCUUCGGAUCCUUGUUCGAGAUCAACCACAUGGACCUCUCCGAGCUCCGCUACCCGAAGCUCCAUCGAUCGUCGAUUCCGUCACCACCAGCGUACAGGAGCGAACACACCGACCUCCGCCUGAACAGAACACCGCCGCCCGAGCCUCCCUCCACGGCCAAUUCCGGCGAGAGAGCUCAGAUUCGAGCUAUCCCACCCACACCAAAGAUCGUUGCUGCCGCCGUUGCUCUAGCUGAAUAGAGCGACGCUACCUGAAACUCGCUGUCGCCGCCUCCUGUUCAUCUGCUCGUGCGGUCGUUGCAGGACCCACCAGAGAACUCACGACGAAUACCCUAAGUCCGUCGUGCCGCGCUUCAUCCGUGCUAUUCCCGAAGUCGUCCCCAAUUUUCCUCCGCAGAGACGAGGGCACGGAUUCGAUUAAGCUCCGCCACCGAGCACCCUUCGUCGCUUGAUUCUGAUGACUAUUGAUACCGGAGCAAGCUACCGACACACCCUCGAUCCCAUCGGAGUUUGGCGGCACCACCGAGCGACGACGCCACCAACAGAGGGCACUUCCUUCGCCGUUUUACGCCACCAUCACCACCCCCGUCGAACACCGCACCCACAAUGCCGCCUCAACUUCGCCGGAGGACCACCGGAGUAGUGCCGCCGCCCCCGCCCGUAGUGCCGCUGUCGUCCGUUGGCUCACGAUUGCUCGGAGCGUGACGAGUAGAAUUGUCAGGAAUUGUGAGUGCGACGAUCUUCAUCAAAUAUACCAGGCAAGUUACACCUUGAUCAUCCUUCAUCCUAUUUUUUAUGCAUGUAGUUCUAUACCACAAUACCAUAUUAUGCAUGUGUAGGAAUAUUAUGGUAGUAUGCUAUUGCUAUUGAGAUGCAGUUAGUAUGGCCUUAUUGUCAAUCAUGGUAGUGUAUUCUUGCUAUGCUAUGUAGGCGGGGAUUGGUUCGUGUAUGCAUCGAGAUUAUGUGAGGACUAUAUAUAAUAUAACUUGAGUAAAAACAUAAUAUAUAAUUCACCUCUGGACGGACAGGGUUGCAUCAUGGUUUCUUGUUCCUUUUCUAAGGGCAUGGACCAUGGCUAAGUGCACCCGAACGGUAUUGCUGGGUGGUUUGAAGAACAUCAUGGUUUAUACCCUCUAAAUGUAAGUGGGUGCCGUCCAGGCUCAAAAAGAUCAGACAAACUUAGUGACUAGUAGCUUCCAUGUACAACCACUGGCUAAUAUGGGCUCUGGCUUAGUUGAUCAGUUGUGGGGACCUUACCCGGAUGUGCCAGCAGAUGUAGUUAUGAUACUUGGGAUGGGCCUCCUAUGGGACUAGGCGACUGCUUCUGAAAGACUUUGUCUCAAUCUUCGGGUUGAGUCUAGUGGGUAAAGUGUACAAACCUCUGCAGAGUGUAUAAACUAAUCAUGAUUAGCCGUGUCCCCGGUUAUGGACAAAUUUGAGCCACUAUGCCAUUACAGUUAUUGGAUGAUCUUGACAGAUGAUACUUUAAUAAAAUUGAGUGGGAAACUUGAUAAUGGGGAUAGGUUGGAAUUGGAUUGCCCAAUUCAACCAUAUGUAUUUAAUUGUAGCAAGACAUAAUUAAAAUUUGACUACUAUAUUAUGUAGUUAUAAGGGAAAAAUUAGCUUUCUACAAAACAACCACCAACCAUUCUUUUGAUAUACCUUGCAUAUAGAAGUAGGUCUGUUAUAUCAUUUCCCUGUGUGACUUGCCA